rnacentral:sRNA from 1 species
GUUGGGCGGAUGUUGUGAGCCGGGUCGCGGCGGCCGAGGCUCGGGCCUCCAGGACCACUGGCUGCCCAUGAGAGAUGAAGGAUGGCAUCCAAGGGGGCCGGCAUGUCUUUCUCCCACAAGAGCUAUAGGCUGACCUCAGAUGCUGAGAAAUCCAGGGUCACAGGCAUUGUGCAGGAGAAGCUGCUGAAUGACUACCUGAACCGCAUCUUUUCCUCUUCUGAACAUGCAGCCACCAGCAGGAAACCCCUGAACUUCCAGAACCUGCCAGAACAUUUGGACCAGUUGCUACAGGUGGACAAUGAGGAGGAGGAAAGCCAGGGACAGGUUGAAGGGCGGCUUGGCCCAUCCACUGUGGUCCUGGACCACACAGGCGGCUUUGAGGGGCUUCUCCUGGUGGAUGAUGACCUGCUGGGGGUGAUUGGACACAGCAACUUUGGCACCAUCCGCUCUACCACAUGCGUGUACAAAGGGAAAUGGGUCUACGAGGUCCUCAUCUCCUCCCAGGGGCUCAUGCAGAUCGGCUGGUGCACCAUCAGCUGCCGCUUCAACCAGGAGGAGGGGGUUGGAGAUACACACAACUCCUAUGCCUAUGAUGGCAACCGCGUGCGCAAGUGGAACGUGACCACUACGAAUUAUGGCAAGGCGUGGGCAGCGGGGGACAUCGUGAGCUGCCUGAUCGACCUGGAUGAUGGCACUCUGUCCUUCUGCCUGAACGGUGUAUCACUGGGCACUGCCUUUGAGAACCUAUCCAGGGGCCUGGGUAUGGCCUACUUCCCAGCCAUCAGCCUCUCUUUCAAGGAGUCCGUGGCCUUCAACUUUGGCAGCCGUCCUCUGCGCUACCCAGUGGCAGGCUACCGGCCCCUGCAGGACCCACCGAGUGCUGACCUGGUGCGGGCACAGAGGUUGCUGGGCUGCUUCCGGGCAGUGCUGAGUGUGGAGCUGGACCCUGUGGAGGGACGGCUGUUGGACAAGGAGAGCUCCAAGUGGCGGUUGCGGGGCCAGCCCACCGUCCUCCUCACACUGGCCCACAUCUUCCAUCACUUUGCACCGCUUCUGCGCAAGGUGUAUCUGGUGGAGGCUGUGCUCAUGAGCUUCCUGCUGGGCAUCGUGGAGAAGGGCACACCCACACAGGCACAGUCCGUGGUGCACCAGGUCCUGGACCUCUUGUGGCUCUUCAUGGAGGACUACGAGGUACAAGAUUGCCUCAAGCAGUUGAUGAUGUCUCUGCUUCGGCUGUACCGAUUCUCACCCAUUGUCCCAGACCUGGGCCUACAGGUGGGAGCCCCUACCCCUGCCCUGAGCCCCCUGGGACUCGCCUGUCCACUCUGAACGCCCCCUCUCCACAGAUCCAUUACCUGCGGCUCACUAUCGCCAUCCUGAGGCAUGAGAAGUCCCGCAAGUUUCUGCUUAGCAAUGUCCUCUUCGACGUGCUCCGCUCCGUCGUCUUCUUUUACAUCAAGAGCCCCUUGCGUGUGGAGGAGGCCGGCCUGCAGGAGCUCAUUCCCACCACCUGGUGGCCCCACUGCUCCAGUAGGGAGGGCAAAGAGAGCACGGAGAUGAAGGAGGAGACCGCAGAGGAGCGGCUGCGGCGGCGAGCCUACGAACGGGGCUGCCAGCGGCUCAGGAAGCGCAUUGAAGUGGUGGAAGAACUACAGAUCCAGAUCCUGAAGCUGCUACUGGACAAUAAAGAUGACAAUGGGGGUGAAGCUUCUAGGUAUAUCUUCCUGACCAAGUUUCGCAAGUUUCUGCAGGAGAACGCCAGUGGCCGGGGGAACAUGCCCAUGCUCUGCCCCCCUGAGUACAUGGUCUGCUUUUUACACCGGCUGAUCUCUGCCCUGCGCUACUAUUGGGAUGAAUACAAGGCUUCCAAUCCUCAUGCUUCCUUCAGUGAGGAGGCCUACAUCCCGCCCCAGGUCUUCUAUAAUGGCAAGGUGGACUACUUUGACCUGCAGCGCCUGGGGGGCCUCCUCUCGCACCUGCGGAAGACCCUCAAAGAUGACCUUGCUUCCAAAGCCAACAUUGUGAUGGACCCACUGGAGCUCCAGUCAACCGCCAUGGAUGACCUAGAUGAGGAUGAGGAGCCAGCCCCAGCUAUGGCCCAGGUGCCACAGUGGGGGCAGGCGGUGGGAUUUGUGUUGGGCUUAUCCUGUAUCUUAUGGGCAGGGGUCUCAUCCAGGGCCACUUCCCGCUCCAUGCAGGCAAGGGGUUUCUUACUGGGCUGGUGCCUUGCUGUGGGUGGAGGCAUGGACCCUCCCUCACAAUUCUGCAGCCCCGUGGGCCAAGGGAACCCUGAGCCAGCCCUGGUCCUGGCCGCCUUUCUUCACUGCAGCGCCCCAUGCAGGCCCUGGCUGUUGGGGGGCCACUGCCCCUGCCCCGGCCCGGCUGGCUCAGUUCUCCAACUUUGGGCCGAGCCAACCGCUUCCUCAGCACAGCGGCUGUGAGCCUCAUGACCCCACGGCGGCCUCUGAGCACCUCAGAGAAAGUGAAGGUCCGCACACUGAGCGUGGAGCAGAGGACCCGUGAGGACAGUAGUUGAAGGCAGCCACUGGAAUGAGGGCUUGCUGCUGGGGCGGCCCCCCGAGGAGCCUGAGCAGCCCCUCACCGAGAACUCGCUGCUGGAAGUCCUGGAUGGGGCGGUCAUGAUGUACAACCUCAGCGUACACCAGCAGCUGGGCAAGAUGGUGGGUGUCUCCGAUGAUGUCAAUGAAUACGCUAUGGCUCUGAGGGACACAGAGGACAAGCUCCGCCGGUGCCCCAAGAGGAGGAAGGACAUCCUUGCAGAGUUGACCAAGAGCCAGAAGGUUUUCUCAGAAAAGCUGGACCACCUGAGCCGCCGUCUUGCAUGGGUCCAUGCCACUGUCUACUCCCAGGAGAAGAUGCUGGACAUCUACUGGCUGCUGCGCGUCUGCCUGCGGACCAUUGAGCACGGUGAUCGCACAGGGUCUCUCUUUGCCUUCAUGCCUGAGUUCUACCUGAGCGUGGCCAUCAACAGCUACAGUGCUCUCAAGAAUUACUUUGGUCCCGUGCACAGCAUGGAGGAGCUCCCAGGCUAUGAAGAGACCCUGACCCGCCUGGCUGCCAUUCUCGCCAAACACUUUGCCGACACACGCAUUGUGGGCACUGACAUCCGAGACUCACUGAUGCAGGCCCUGGCCAGCUACGUGUGCUACCCACACUCCCUGCGGGCUGUGGAGCGAAUCCCCGAGGAGCAGCGUAUCGCCAUGGUGAGGAACCUCCUGGCGCCCUAUGAGCAGCGGCCCUGGGCCCAGACCAACUGGAUCCUGGUGCGGCUCUGGAGGGGCUGUGGCUUCGGGUACCGCUAUACACGGCUGCCACAUCUGCUGAAAACCAAACUUGAGGACGCCAAUUUGCCCAGCCUCCAGACCUCAAUGGACGAGGACAGAGGCAAACAGGCAGAGGCCACUGCAGUGGAGUCCCUGAUGAUGCCGCCUCCUGUCCCCCUGCAGAGCCCUGCCCCUCCACCCUGCUGCAGCAGCACAUGGCGGACCUCCUACAGCAGGGUCCUGAUGUGGCACCCAGCUUCCUCAACAGCGUCCUCAAUCAGCUCAACUGGGCCUUCUCUGAAUUCAUUGGCAUGAUCCAAGAGAUCCAGCAGGCUGCUGAGCGCCUGGAGCGGAACUUUGUGGACAGCCGGCAGCUCAAGGUAUGUGCCACCUGCUUUGACCUCUCGGUCAGCCUGCUGCGUGUCUUGGAGAUGACUAUCACACUGGUGCCUGAGAUAUUCCUUGACUGGACCCGGCCUACCUCUGAGAUGCUGCUGCGGCGUCUUGCACAGCUGCUAAACCAGGUGCUGAACCGGGUGACAGCUGAGAGGAACCUGUUUGAUCGUGUGGUCACCCUACGGCUGCCUGGCCUAGAGAGCGUGGACCACUAUCCCAUUCUGGUGGCAGUGACGGGCAUCCUGGUGCAGCUCCUGGUGCGUGGCCCAGCCUCAGAGAGAGAGCAAGCCACAUCAGUGCUCCUGGCAGAUCCCUGCUUCCAGCUACGCUCAAUAUGCUAUCUCCUGGGACAGCCAGAGCCCCCAGCACCUGGCACUGCUCUGCCAGCCCCUGACCGGAAGCGCUUCUCCCUGCAGAGCUAUGUGGAUUAUAUCAGUGCCGAUGAGCUGGCCCAAGUGGAACAGAUGCUGGCGCACCUGACCUCUGCAUCUGCCCAGGCAGCAGCUGCCUCCCUGCCCACCAGUGAGGAGGACCUCUGCCCCAUCUGCUAUGCCCACCCCAUCUCUGCUGUGUUCCAGCCCUGUGGCCACAAGUCCUGCAAGUAAGUGGGCCCCACAGCUUGGUGGUGGGGAGAGCAGUAGGUACAUGCAGGGCAGUCCUCAUCCCCUCCCCUGUUGUAGAGCCUGUAUCAACCAGCACCUGAUGAACAACAAGGACUGCUUCUUCUGCAAAGCCACCAUCGUGUCUGUAGAGGACUGGGAGAAGGGAGCCAAUACGAGUACUACCUCCUCAGCUGCCUAGCCCUCACAGCCUGCGCCAUCCUGGAACCUCCACCUUUGAACCCAGAGCCAGGCUGGACCCUAUUUAUGAGCUCCCUUUGCCCUUCUCCUGUAUCCCACACCACCACAUCCAACCUCCUUGCCUGCCUGUAUCCUCAUUGGUGGGAGCCCAGCCAUGGCCCUAAUUGUGCCUGAGCUUGACUUUCAGUCAGGGCCACAGUGAGCAUUAAAUUAUUAUUCCAUACA